rnacentral:rRNA from 1 species
CUUGGUGAUAGGAGCGACGUGGACCCACCCGGUUCCAUUCCGAACCCGGUCGUUAAACGCGUCAGCGCCGAUGGUACUGGGGGGGAAGCCCCUUGGGAGAGUAGGUCACCGCCUGGA